rnacentral:rRNA from 1 species
UGACCUGCGGAAGGAUCAUUAUCGUACAAAAUGUGAGGGGCAUGCGAGGGCUGUCGCUGACUCAAAGUCGUGCACGCCCGAGUGUGUCCUCUCACAUAAUAAUCCAUCUCACCCUUUGUGCAUCACCGCGUGGGCACCCUUUGGGAUUCGUCUCGGAGGGGGCUCGCGUUUUCACACAAACCCCCCUUUUAAAAGUGUAGAAUAACCUCAUUUAUGCGCUAACCCGCAAUCAAUACAACUUUCAACAACGGAUCUCUUGGCUCUCGCAUCGAUGAAGAACGCAGCGAAAUGCGAUACGUAAUGUGAAUUGCACAAUUCAGUGAAUCAUCGAAUCUUUGAACGCACCUUGCGCCCCUUUGUAUUCCGAGGGGCACACCCGUUUGAGUGUCGUGAAAACCUCAACCUCCUUGGUCUCUUCUGGAGACCAAAGCAGGCUUGGACUUUGGAGGCUUCUGCUGGCACCUCUCUCCCUUGAAGGCCAGCUCCUCUUAAACAAAUUAGCAGGGUCCUCUUUGCCGAUCCUUGACGUGUGAUAAGAUGUUUCCAUGUCUUGGUUUCUGGCUCUGUCACUUUGGGACCCGCUUCUAACCGUCUUGACCUUGCAUCGAGACAACGUUCGAGCAUGCCUCCCUUUCUCGGGAAGCUCCCCUCGACCCCACGAACCCUUGACCUC